AUUGAACGCUGGCGGCAGGCCUAACACAUGCAAGUCGAGCGGAGCGGCGGACGGGUGAGUAAUGCCUAGGAAUCUGCCUGGUAGUGGGGGAUAACUUCCGGAAACGGGCGCUAAUACCGCAUAUUAUCCGACGAGCCUAGGUCGGAUUAGCUAGUUGGUGGGGUAAAGGCCUACCAAGGCGACGAUCCGUAACUGGUCUAAGAGGAUGAGCAGUCACACUGGAAGUGAGACACGGUCCAGAAUCCUAAGGAAGGCAGCGGUGGGGAAGUUUAGGCAAUGAGCGAAAGCCUGAUCCAGCCAUGCCGCGUGUGUGAAGAAGGUCAUCGGAAUGUAAAGCACUUUAGGGUGGGGGGCGUUACCAACAGAAAAAGCGCCGGCAAACUACGUGCCAGCCGCCGCGGUAAUAC
rnacentral:rRNA from 1 species